AGAGUUUGAUCCUGGCUCAGAACGAACGCUGGCGGCGUGGAUAAGACAUGCAAGUCGAACGGGAUAACAUCUGUAGCAAUACAGGUGUUAUUUAGUGGCGAACGGGUGCGUAACACGUGGGCAAUCUGCCGAGAAGUGGGGGAUAGCUCGCCGAAAGGCGAAUUAAUACCGCAUAUGGUCAGUGAAGACAUCUUCACAACACCAAAGCCGGGGCAACCUGGCGCUUUUUGAUGAGCCCGCGGCCUAUCAGCUAGUUGGUGAGGUAACGGCUCACCAAGGCUAUGACGGGUAGCUGGUCUGAGAGGACGACCAGUCACACUGGAACUGAGACACGGUCCAGACACCUACGGGUGGCAGCAGUCGAGAAUUUUUCACAAUGGGGGCAACCCUGAUGGAGCGACGCCGCGUGGAGGAUGAAGGCUUUCGGGUUGUAAACUCCUGUCAUUUGAGAACAAGGUGCAUCGAUUAACUGUCGCUGCAUUGAUAGUAUCAGAAGAGGAAGAGACGGCUAACUCUGUGCCAGCAGCCGCGGUAAUACAGAGGUCUCAAGCGUUGUUCGGAUUCAUUGGGCGUAAAGGGUGCGUAGGUGGCGGGGUAAGUCAGGUGUGAAAUUUCGGAGCUCAACUCCGAAACUGCAUUUGAUACUGCCUUGCUUGAGGACUGGAGAGGAGACUGGAAUUCACGGUGUAGCAGUGAAAUGCGUAGAUAUCGUGAGGAAGACCAGUGGCGAAGGCGGGUCUCUGGACAGAUCCUGACACUGAGGCACGAAGGCCAGGGGAGCAAACGGGAUUAGAUACCCCCGUAGUCC
rnacentral:rRNA from 1 species